CAUGCGCAGAGGAGGGAGAGUGGACAUGAUGGGCGUGACAGAGUAUAGGAUAGGGUGAGAUGGAGUAGGAGCAGCGCCCUCUGCUGGUGUCUCCAGACUUGGACCGCGGUUUCUCCUCCUGUUUGCUUCGGGUGGAAGAGAAGACUGACAGCUGACACCCAGAUGAACAUCAGCCAGAUCAGGCCGGCUAUCAUGUUUACUUCCGGACACUGUGUCGAUGUACUGCUCCUGGAUCAUGAAGGCUGCCAGGUUGGCUGU